AUGGUUUGACCUCGGAUCAGGUAGGGAUACCCGCUGAACUUAAGCAUAUCAAUAAGCGGAGGA
rnacentral:rRNA from 1 species